CGCCUCCCAGAAUUUUUGAUCAUGGCUCAGGAUGAACGCUGGCGGCGUGCCUAAUACAUGCAAGUCGAGCGAACAGAUGAGAAGCUUGCUUCUCUGAUGUUAGCGGCGGACGGGUGAGUAACACGUGGGUAACCUACCUAUAAGACUGGGAUAACUCCGGGAAACCGGGGCUAAUACCGGAUAAUAUUUUGAACCGCAUGGUUCAAUAGUGAAAGACGGUUUCGGCUGUCACUUAUAGAUGGACCCGCGCCGUAUUAGCUAGUUGGUAAGGUAACGGCUUACCAAGGCGACGAUACGUAGCCGACCUGAGAGGGUGAUCGGCCACACUGGAACUGAGACACGGUCCAGACUCCUACGGGAGGCAGCAGUAGGGAAUCUUCCGCAAUGGGCGAAAGCCUGACGGAGCAACGCCGCGUGAGUGAUGAAGGUCUUCGGAUCGUAAAACUCUGUUGUUAGGGAAGAACAAAUUUGUUAGUAACUGAACAAGUCUUGACGGUACCUAACCAGAAAGCCACGGCUAACUACGUGCCAGCAGCCGCGGUAAUACGUAGGUGGCAAGCGUUAUCCGGAAUUAUUGGGCGUAAAGCGCGCGUAGGCGGUUUCUUAAGUCUGAUGUGAAAGCCCACGGCUCAACCGUGGAGGGUCAUUGGAAACUGGGAAACUUGAGUGCAGAAGAGGAGAGUGGAAUUCCAUGUGUAGCGGUGAAAUGCGCAGAGAUAUGGAGGAACACCAGUGGCGAAGGCGGCUCUCUGGUCUGUAACUGACGCUGAUGUGCGAAAGCGUGGGGAUCAAACAGGAUUAGAUACCCUGGUAGUCCACGCCGUAAACGAUGAGUGCUAAGUGUUAGGGGGUUUCCGCCCCUUAGUGCUGCAGCUAACGCAUUAAGCACUCCGCCUGGGAGGUCCCG
rnacentral:rRNA from 1 species